AGCUCUUCCAUACAAGAUGGUGAUGUUCCCAACCAAUUGAGGAAGGGAAGUAAAAACCCUCCAAGUGCCUCUCAGUUCUUUUCUUUUCUGCAGGCCUGUGCAGAUGUGAAUCCAAUUUUUAUCCUGUUAUGCUCACUGUGCAUAAGAGAUGGCGAAAGUGAUUGGGGUUCCAGACUUCAGAGAGAAAUAAUGUCAGGACAUGGACUCAUCUUCAUGGAGAAUUCUCUGCUUGGUCGCUGACAAAGAAGGAAUAUUCAUAUCCAUCAGAAAAGGAUCCAGUUGCAUGGGGCUGCAUUAUUCAAAGGGUUUUGCUCUGACAGUCUCAGUGGAAGUAAUUUAAGAAUUUGGGGAACCUAAUAAGAUUGACUUGUCUUUUGUCCUGUUACCAAUCUAGCUGAUUUGGUAUUUUAUUGGGAUACUUGACUCCAAGGUCUACCUUUUGUGUUUCUGUUCAAGGAGGCUCAGGCUUGCAUUGCAGUUUGGAUGGCAGUCAUGUCAUCCUGUAGAGAACAGUAUUUUAAAGGUUUCAUGGACAUAUAUAACAUCUGUGUAUGUAUAUGUAAAAUCAUAACUUGUAAAUUCAUGGUAUAGAAACUUUUAGUUUCCACAAGGCUUAUGGAGGCUUUUAUUGAGCCUCUUAGGACCAGCUUUCUCUUGGAUCUUUCACUGACUAUUUCUUCCCUUGUGGCUGUAACAUUUGCCAAAAGACCAUCAGAACUGCAGGCUGACAGAUUUUUCUUAUUAAAAUUUUCUUAAGUCGUCUUGGAUGUCCCUUUAAAUUACUUUUUUUUUUU